GUUGAGGUUUUACUAAAAACCAUCGAAUAUUUAAUUAACAGGUAUAG
rfam:Trichoplax adhaerens TRIADscaffold_1 genomic scaffold, whole genome shotgun sequence.